GAUGAACGCUGGCGGUGUGCCUUAGGCAUGCAAGUCGAACGCUCCCUUCGGGGAGAGUGGCAGACGGGUGAGUAACGCGUAGGAAUCUACCCAGUAGUGGGGAAUAGCUCGCCGAAAGGCGGGGUAAUACCGCAUACACCCUCCGGGGGAAAGCAUUUAUGCGCUAUUGGAGGAGCCUGCGUCCUAUCAGGUAGUUGGUGGGGUAAUAGCCUACCAAGCCUAUGACGGGUAGCCGAUGUGAGAGCAUGAUCGGCCACAAGGUCACUGAGACACGGGGCCUACACCUACGGGUGGCAGCAACCGGGAAUAUUGCGCAAUGGGCGAAAGCCUGACGCAGCGACACCGCGUGUGGGAAGACGCUUUUCGGAGUGUAAACCACUGUGGCGAGGGAUGAAUUUUUGACAGUACCUCGCUAGAAAGCACCUGCUAACCACG
rnacentral:rRNA from 1 species